UACAGAGGUCCCAAGCGUUAUCCGGAUUUAUUGGGUUUAAAGGGUGCGUAGGCGGCGCGGUAAGUCGGGUGUGAAAUCUCGGAGCUUAACUCCGAAACUGCAUUCGAUACUGCCGUGCUUGAGGACUGGAGAGGAGACUGGAAUUUACGGUGUAGCGGUGAAAUGCGUAGAUAUCGUAAGGAAGACCAGUGGCGAAGGCGGGUCUCUGGACAGUUCCUGACGCUGAGGCACGAAGGUCAGGGGAGCAAACGGG
rnacentral:rRNA from 1 species